rnacentral:rRNA from 1 species
AUUGAACGCUGGCGGCAGGCCUAACACAUGCAAGUCGAACGGUAACAGGAAGAAGCUUGCUUCUUUGCUGACGAGUGGCGGACGGGUGAGUAAUGUCUGGGAAACUGCCUGAUGGAGGGGGAUAACUACUGGAAACGGUAGCUAAUACCGCAUAACGUCGCAAGACCAAAGAGGGGGACCGUCGGGCCUCUUGCCAUCGGAUGUGCCCAGAUGGGAUUAGCUAGUUGGUGGGGUAACGGCUCACCAAGGCGACGAUACCUAGCUGGUCUGAGAGGAUGACCAGCCACACUGGAACUGAGACACGGUCCAGACUCCUACGGGAGGCAGCAGUGGGGAAUAUUGCACAAUGGGCGCAAGCCUAAUGCAGCCGUGCCGCGUGUAUGAAGAAGGCCUUCGGGUUGUAAAGUACUUUCAGCGGGGAGGAAGGGAGUAAAGUUAAUACCUUUGCUCAUUGACGUUACCCGCAGAAGAAGCACCGGCUAACUCCGUGCCAGCCGCCGCUGUAA